rnacentral:lncRNA from 1 species
CUGGGUGAACACUGCCAAGGAUGACAUGUCACGAUGUGAUAAGGUUUAACAUUCCUGGAAAAAUCUGGAUAGAUCCUGUUAAACUCUCCUUCAGAGACGGGUGUGCCAACUUCCAACCCAUUGAUAAAAUGCCAGACAAGAAGCUACUGAAGAGAAGAAGUGUCUAUUUUGGCUUACAGGUUCAGGAUACAGUCAUGGCAACGAGAGCUGGAGGAGGAGCUGGUCUCAUCGCAUCCUUAGUCGGGAAGCAGAGAGAUCUGUACGUUGACAAGCUCACGUUCUUAUUCAGUCCAGCUCCCCAGCCCAUGGAACGGUGAUGCUCACCUCAGGGUGGGUCUUCUCAUCUUAAUUAAUGUAAUUUAGAAACUCACAUUCAUGCUCAGAGAUUUGUCUACUAGAUGAUUCCAGAUCCUGUCAAGUUGGCAAUGUUAACUGCAUCACAGUGUCUUAAA